rnacentral:rRNA from 1 species
AGGGGGCUUAGUGGUGGGGUGACUGCGUACCUUUUGUAUAAUGGGUCAGCGACUUAUAUUCUGUAGCAAGGUUAACCGAAUAGGGGAGCCGGAGGGAAACCGAGUCUUAAUUGGGCGUUAAGUUGCAGGGUAUAGACCCGAAACCCGGUGAUCUAGCCAUGGGCAGGUUGAAGGUUGGGUAACACUAACUGGAGGACCGAACCGACUAAUGUUGAAAAAUUAGCGGAUGACCUGUGGCUGGGGGUGAAAGGCCAAUCAAACCGGGAGAUAGCUGGUUCUCCCCGAAAGCUAUUUAGGUAGCGCCUCGUGAAUUCAUCUCCGGGGGUAGAGCACUGUUUCGGCUAGGGGGCCAUCCCGGCUUACCAACCCGAUGCAAACUGCGAAUACCGGAGAAUGUUAUCACGGGAGACACACGGCGGGUGCUAACGUCCGUCGUGAAGAGGGAAACAACCCAGACCGCCAGCUAAGGUCCCAAAGUCAUGGUUAAGUGGGAAACGAUGUGGGAAGGCCCAGACAGCCAGGAUGUUGGCUUAGAAGCAGCCAUCAUUUAAAGAAAGCGUAAUAGCUCACUGGUCGAGUCGGCCUGCGCGGAAGAUGUAACGGGGCUAAACCAUGCACCGAAGCUGCGGCAGCGACACUCAGGUGUUGUUGGGUAGGGGAGCGUUCUGUAAGCCUGCGAAGGUGGCCUGUGAGGGUUGCUGGAGGUAUCAGAAGUGCGAAUGCUGACAUAAGUAACGAUAAAGCGGGUGAAAAGCCCGCUCGCCGGAAGACCAAGGGUUCCUGUCCAACGUUAAUCGGGGCAGGGUGAGUCGACCCCUAAGGCGAGGCCGAAAGGCGUAGUCGAUGGGAAACGGGUUAAUAUUCCCGUACUUGGUGUUACUGCGAAGGGGGGACGGAGAAGGCUAUGUUGGCCGGGCGACGGUU